rnacentral:rRNA from 1 species
AUUGAACGCUGGCGGCAGGCCUAACACAUGCAAGUCGAGCGAGCGGCGGACGGGUGAGUAAUGUAUGGGGACUGCCCGAUAGAGGGGGAUAACUACUGGAAACGGUGGCUAAUACCGCAUACUGUCGGAUAACCCAGAUGGGAUUAGCUAGUAGGUAAGGUAAUGGCUUACCUAGGCGACGAGCCCUAGCUGGUCUGAGAGGAUGAUCAGCCACACUGGGACUGAGACACGGCCCAGACCCCUACGGAGGCAGGCGUGGGGAGUAGUGCACAAUGGGCGCAGUCCUGAAGCAUCCAUGCCGCAUGUAUGAAGAAUGCCCUAGGGUUAUAAAGUACAUUCAGUCAGGAGCCGUUACCGACAGAAGAAGCACCUGCUAACUCCGUACCAGCAGCCGCGGUAAUAC